CGUGUGUCUCUAGGCAGGAGGAACUCCCCAUGAAGAGUAAGAACAGAGUACCUCGAUGUAAGGCUUGCAAACUUCAAGCGGUGGUUAAAUGUCUGUUGUCGUGAAUACAAAGAAAGGGGUUUAUGUUUUGUUUUUAUAUUUGUUACAUUUGUUUUAUUGCAAUACCUUUUUUGCACCGUCAGCGAGCCAAGAAACUGUAUCCGGUUUAAGUGCAGCCUGAUAAACACGAAACAAGAUGCGCCGCGACAGAGCUGGGUGGAAGUGAAGGAGUGAGUCUGGCGUCUUUAUUGAAGGGUUGGGAAAACACGACACGCGUGUCUGGCCGGGUGUUAGGAGACGUUAUGAGAGUUUUGUACUGACCCCUCUUUCCUGGUGGCGCUAGAUGCAGAUGCAACCAUACGCACACUAUCCAUUCUUGUUAUACAGAACUGGCUUUACAAAGAUCACAUGAAAGAAAAGGAUAUGUUUUAUGCAGCGUGUCCCCAUUUUAAUGCUGGUUAAAUGGUUGUUUUAAGCUGUUUAAUGAUAGUUUUAAUGCUACUUAUAAUGCAAAUUCCUUGUUUCUACCCUUGUGUGGAAAUCUGCACUGGUGUGAUGUUGUUCUGUCAUCAUUGCCAGUGAAAGCGAGUGGGAUUUUUACUGGUGUGAUGUCGGAUGGCUCCGGGAAAAUACGGGCGCUGAAAUUCCAAUACUAACAGUUUAUCAGUUGAGACUCCCAUUGCAUAGCAGCUGGAGUCAUUUCAGGCCUUAAUAGGACUGAUAAAUCAAACAUCAGCCUAAUUUGACAUAUCCUGGUACCAGCAGGCUCCUCUGUAACGAGCUCACAGUAAAGCCUGCAAUGGUUUUGCACUGCUGUGAAAUGAAGGUCGUGUAUGCUGCAGUCACUCGUGGGUUAGGGUGCCUUUGGUGUGGGGUUGGAAAUGAUGCACCCCUUCUUCAGGUGUGUUUAGUGACUGGCUCUUGUUCCCCUGGGAAGCUGACUCGUAAGAAUCUGAUGGUGAAGAACCUGAAGAGAUACCGUAAGCUGCUGGAGUGCAAGGCGGGGAGGCAGGAGGCGACCAAGUGUGACUUCUUCCCCCCGCACCUUUGAGCUGCCCUGCAAGUAUCACCUGUUUGUGGAGGGGUUCAAGAGGAGCCCCUGGAGCACCUGGAUCACGAAGCCGGUAAGGUGAGGCCGCUGAGGUCACUCAUGAGGAAGUGCUGUGAUUACUCAACAGAAUCAGUCUACAUGCUGGGGUUUUUAGUAAGUUACAGAUAGUUUUAAACUACACUAUUGCUUCAUUGAGGAUUUUCAAAGCUCCUUCGCACUUCACUGUGUCCUUUCUGGUUGAUUGCAGGUUGCCAGGUCCCAGGGAAAGGGCAUCUUCCUCUUUCGCAAACUAAAGUAUAUCAUGGACUGGAAAAAGGAUGGGAACCGUUCAGAGGGUCAGAAGGACAAGAAGCAGGUGGAGAGCUACGUGGGUCAGCGUUACAUUGAGAAUCCGUAUCUCAUUGGAGGGUAUGUAAAUGACAGGAAGAUACAGCUGAGGCAGCUUCUGAACCCCCUCCCAGGACAGAAGAAAGUAUGACAGGAAACAGCCAACCCACAGAGGGAUUGAGAGAUCAAAGGAAGAGGACUCGGACAAGCCAGAGCAGAAAGAGAACAAUAGUGACAUCAGUAGUUAGGCUGACCAGCAGUUAAAACAUGUUUUAGUAAUCAUUUUUUAAAACAAGACUCAAGUGGAUGACAGUUCUGUAGCAGCUUUACCGGAAAAAAAAAAAACACAUUUUAUUUUAAUCGUGGUAACAAUGCAGUCCCAACAAUGUGAUUGAUGGAUCCUGGUGCAUGUGCCAGACUACCUUAAAAACUAAACGAUUUUUUUUUUUUUUUUUUGGCC